AACGUAGGUCACAAGCGUUGUCCGGAAUUACUGGGUGUAAAGGGAGCGCAGGCGGGAAGACAAGUUGGAAGUGAAAUCCAUGGGCUCAACCCAUGAACUGCUUUCAAAACUGUUUUUCUUGAGUAGUGCAGAGGUAGGCGGAAUUCCCGGUGUAGCGGUGGAAUGCGUAGAUAUCGGGAGGAACACCAGUGGCGAAGGCGGCCUACUGGGCACCAACUGACGCUGAGGCUCGAAAGUGUGGGUAGCAAACAGGAUUAGAAACCCCAUAGGCGGCUGACUGUCU
rnacentral:rRNA from 1 species